CCUACGGGGAGCAGCAGUAGGGAAUAUUGCUCAAUGGGGGAAACCCUGAAGCAGCAACGCCGCGUGGAGGAUGAAGGUUUUAGGAUUGUUAACUCCUUUUGUUAGAGAAGAUUAUGACGGUAUCUAACGAAUAAGCACCGGCCAAUUCCGUGCCAGCAGCCGCGGUAAUACGGCGGGUGCAAGCGUUACUCGGAAUCACUGGGCGUAAAGAGUGCGUAGGCGGGGUAAUAAGUCAGAUGUGAAAGCCUGUAGCUUAACUACAGAACUGCAUUUGAAACUGUUACUCUGGAGUGUGGGAGAGGUAGGUGGAAUGCGUGGUGUAGGGGUAAAAUGCGUAGAGAUCAAGAAGAAUACUGAUUGCGAAGGCGACCUGCUGGAACAUUACUGACGCUGAUGCACGAAAGCGUGGGGAGCAAACAGGAUUAGAUACCCUUGUAGUC
rnacentral:rRNA from 1 species